UUCCAAGGUCCAGGUAACUGUAGAAAACUGUAAAGAGAAUUUUUGGAAUAAGUAUGCAAAAUAUCAGGGGCAGGUGCUAUGAAUUUGAACACUUCCAUGGGAGUGAAAGUCUGAAACUAAUUUCUGGGCUCUGGUAAGGGCCCAUAUGGAAUGAUUACAUAUUAUUUUUUUCAAGAUUGGGAUGAAAUAAUAAAUAUAUAUUAACCUAAACACUGCUUAUCAGUCUUCUAUAUUUUUGUAUUGCUUAAUGCUGAAAGAUUAAAACAAAAUAGUAAGAAAAAUAAUAACAGCUUCUACAUAUUGAACACCUGUAAUGAAUCAGGAACUAAUUUAGACCUAGAGAAUUUUAUCUAAUUAACUCCUCACAGAAAACCACAGAUUUGUAUGCCUGUUUUGCAUAUCUAAAAAGAAACAUAGGCUCGGAAAGAAUAAUUUCUGAAGUUUACACAGCUCUAAGUAAUAGAGUUGAGACUGAAAGUAAUAGAGUUGAAGUCUUUAAAGCAGAUUAGAGACUUGUGGCAGUAACUGAUGCAUUAUAUUUCCUAUUCCCACGUAGAUCACAAUCCUUCUAGAUAUUCUAAAUUUCUCAACAAACCAAUUAACAUCUUUUCAUUAAGUGAAACUUAUGAUUUAUUUUAGGUCCUAGGAGUAAGCUAAAGGGCAUUUUUGUCAUCUACUAUAAUCAACAUAUGUUAUGUCACUUUCAUUUUUGCUGUAAGAUUGGAAUAUCAUGCACCAUCCUUAUUCAACUAAACCUACUUACACUGAUCUUAUUUGCAAGACAGAAUUUAUGAUUGUUGUAUGAAAAAUAUCUGUUAGAUUGCAAGUAUGCAGGUAAGCUAUUGUUUAUAUUCCAUUUUUUUUUUUUUUGAAGCUAAAAAGUCUCCAUGUUUGCUGUGUGGAAGAUAAUUACAUAAGUUUUCAGGACAUCUCCAAGAACUAACUCAAUGUCAAAUUUUCUUCAUUCUAUAAAAUCCUUAAGCCAUAUUGAUUAGAAAAUUUUAUUUCUGGUUUUAAUAUCCAGUUUCACUUCUAUACAAUUUGACACUACUUCAAACUCAUAAAAAGAUAUGUACAUUGAAGUAAAACCACUGGCAUUUAUGAAAAUUGCAUUGCUGGAUUAGCCUAUUCAAAACCCCUCAGCCCUGAGAGAUAGAAUUUCAGUCUAAAUAGGUUUGCCUCCCUCGAUUCAUGAGUCCCAAAUCCUAGUCUUUGGCAACAUUCCCCAGGAUGGGAACUUAAUACAGAUCCUCACCCUUGAGCCAGACAAAUGAGCCUUCUGUUUGGAAUAUAGUAUAUAUCUAAAGCAAUGCUUCUUAAACAUUUUCAUUUUUUGGGCUAUGGUCCAGGUUUUGCGGUUGCUACUAAAAAUACUGCCCAUAAAGCCUUCUUAAGCCACAGACACAAGAAUGUAUUCUUCUAUCCUUCCACAAGUUAAAGGAAAUUUUACCUAGUAGGUAAAGAAAGAGCAAAUGUUAGUCAUAUGAAGGAGACAAUAGGAAAAUAUCUGCUGGUUUAUUUGAUGAAUCUUGUAAUCAAAAAUUAGAUUUGUCUUUCUACCCACCAAGUUAAAGGAAUUAGGUGAGGUGCGAAAUGCUGGAUGUGGAGACAGGACUGGCAUGCUUUUUAGUCACCAGUUUUUAUUACUUUUCCUUGAGAAUCAGUAACUGAGAAAGAAGCAAUAGCUAGGUACUUGUGAGGGAAGUUCUUGCAAUUAAAUCUCUCUUGGUGGACAGUGGCAGGAUCUUCUUGGGCCCUGCAGUGUACGUGCAGGAAGGGGAGAUUGCCCAAUACUGGCAAGAUACACAUUCCCUUGGAGCCUGAAUGUGCAGCUUGUGUGGCACAAUAAAUCAUGGAUAUAUUGCCUGAACAAUAUAUAUUAUUAUAUAUUAUAUAUUAUUAUUAAUAUAUGAUUUCUAGAUGCCAGUAGACUCUAUCUCUAAAAACAAGCAAACAAACAUGGUGCUAGAACCAUGUGGAUGUCUCUUACCAUCUGGCUUCACAUGUCUUAGCAUGGACAACUCAAAAGACAAUGGGGCUCACGCUCACCCACUUUAUCUUUGCCUUUGAGCAUUCUCCACAAUCCUUACUAGCUGCUGUUGGAAUAAAUAAGUGUAGAAACAACACUGAAUUGGUUCAAAGCAUUCUUGCUGCCUCCAUAUUUUAAACAUGAAUUGUGACUGUUCUCACCUGUAAUUUAUUGACUGUUGCCUGAGAUUUCAGAUGUCCCAGGAAACCCAACUGAUUUAGCAUUCAAGAAAAAGAAAAUGUUUUAAAUAUUAUAAUACUUAAAGAACUAAGCAGCCUUUGGUAAGAAACACUAUUUACUUCCUGUAUCUGACACUCAUGUCCUGAACUACACAACUGCUUCCAUGUUUCCAAACUUGGGUAGUUCAUGUGAGUGAGCAGUAGAGAAAAUAUAUCAAAGCAUCAUUUUACACAAAACACAUUAUACAAGCAAGAGGUAAAACUGAUAAAAGGUAAAAGCUAUAAGUAAAAAUAAUUCAAAUUAGGUGUUAUAAUUAUGCUCAAGUAAUUAUGCUCAUAGAUAAUUACUUGAGAAUGUACCUGUAGCUCUUUAAAAAGUGGAAAGUAUGUGGGGAACCAUCAUUUUUCACAAUAACAAAAUCUCUUAUGUAGUUUCGAGAUUGCCAAGCUGCUCUAAAUUAGAGAUCCUAAAAUGUCUCAACUGUUCUCCAAUUAUCUCUAUCCAACCCAUGAUUUAAUUAUGAAUGCAUUAUCUACUACAGCUGGCUCCCCAACCAUCUUAUUGGGGCACACUUUUUAUUUUCCAAAGGCUUCAAAAUCACCAUGAAUAUAUUAUUCAGGGCUCACAAGCUCAUGGUAGACAACAACCCAACUCAAAUUUUCUUCAGCUGGAAAAGGAAUGCCCUUAUACAUAUUUGAAGAGGCAGAAGCUCCAACAUGUGGAAAACACUAUCUCAUGCCAUCUUACAUUUGGAAUCCUUGAAGGAACAAGGUAGAUGAUAAAAUGGUUAUUGCAAAUAUUUAUGUCAGAGUAGGGUUUAAAGUCAAGCAGGUACGGACUGAAAUCUCAGUUCUAUCAUUUAUUAGCUUUGUGAUCUUGGGAUAUGACUAAUCUUUUCUGAGCCUCUAGUUGCGCAUGCAUACAAUUGACAUAGCAGAAAAACUGCUUGAGUGAAUAGAGGGAGAAUCACUCUUUUUGGAGUCCACAUACCUCUGGGAAGAACCAGGUCUCACAGAAGAGCCUGUGUGGGUAACCAGCUGUUCAAUGUACUAGGUAACGCGGUGGUAUCCCAGAAUGACAGGCUCUGUGGAUUGAGGGCUCUUUAGACAACAGGCAGAAAAAUAUAAAAGUGGCAGCUAAGGAUAUAAGCAAACAUCCUUCUACUUUGACCUGCUGAAACAGAGUGACUCUAACAGCGUGUGAACUCGGUCCCCUCAGUACAUUAGUAUUCUAUGAUGAAAUAACACUUAUAUCACAACUACUAUGACUAUCUCUAUUAUAAACAUUAGAGAUAUUUUUUAUAUUUAAAUUGAGGUUUUAACAUAUAUUCUCAAUCUUUCUCAAGUACUUUUUUAGUUAAUGAAAGGAGAGGUAGAAUUGAUAGUUCAUAAAAAUAGGAAUAUAGUUUUAUGUUGCACAUAGGCCAUGGAUUCAGUUUCCAUCAGGGAAAUUAAACUCAUAUUAGAGUUUAUUUGGGAACUAUUUAAGCCUAGAGAAUAGAAGAUAAAAAAUAUAUAGGUAGUAAAGGAGCAGAGAAUUCUCAAGUAUGAUCACGCACCUGGGAAUUAUUAGCACAUGGACUUGCUUGAAGUUCCUCACGAAUAAAAUUGUGUGUGCACUGCACUUAUCCUCUGUAGUGAAAAUCAGAAAUCUUCCUUUCACAGUAUGCAAAGGAAAAAGAGUAUAUUUUGGGAAAAAAAAAACAAAAAACAGGUUAUGUUGCCUCAGGGCAGUGCAGCUCUUGAUACAUAGCCAACACUCCCCCACCCUCUUCAAUUUGUAGCUAUUUUGUUCUGGACUAGUUCCACAGACUAGAAGCCAUUGUUAGAACUGUUUUUCUUAUUAAAAUUUUUUAACUUAAAAUUGUCUUUUUGCAAACUCAGUUUGGGCUUCAUGCCAAGAUUAAUAAAUAAAACACACAUGGAAGAAGAAUAGUCCACAACAAAAGAAGUCAUUGGUUAGGCAUCAAAGUCCAAGAAAUUAAUGGACCCAGUACUUAUUUGGCAGGUCUUCUCACUUGUUGGCUUGAAUCAAUUUAUUGUUAUAGUCUCAUCAGCAUUUCAAUACAACAGUGGAGAAAAAUGUUGCUACUAAUCUUGCUAUUUCAGCUGUUACUCUGCGAAAAGCUAUCCCCAAACAUAGUAGCUUUAAACAACACCUAUCAUUUAAAAUCUUCCAGGAUUCUUGUGAGGGGUCUCUGCUGCCUGGAAAGUGCAAUGGGAACUAGGUCUGGAAAGUCUAACAGGCUAACUCAGGCAUCUGAAUAUUGGUAAGGAUAUCUGGAUGCUGAGACCUCUCUCUAUGUAGUUCUCCUAUGUGACUAGAUUGGGUUUCUUUAUAUGAUGGUUAGAUUUAUCACACUUCCCUUCAAGAAGGAGGGAAAUAAAUUCUCUCUCUUCAUGCAUGCUGUAUCAGGAUGAGUGUCCAUCUUUAAUUUGUUGUAUCAAAUACUAUAGUUUGGAUCUGGAAUAUUCUACUGAAGAUCCAUGUGUUUAAAGACUGAUCCCCAGCUUGUUGGUAUUGGGAGAAGUAGGAACUUUAAGAAGUGGGGCCUAGUAGGAGGACUUCAUGUCAUUAGAAGGACAUUGUGAGACUCCAGUCUUUUCCUCCUUUUUUUUUUUAAAAUUCCUGGCUAUGGACUGAAUAACUCUGCUCCUCUGCUCUGCCAUAACUCCUGCUAUGAUGUGUCUCAACAGACCCCAAGUAACAGGUGUAGUUGAUCAUAGACUGAACUCUCCAAAACUGUGGCCCCAAACAUAACUUUUCUCUAUAUAAGUUAUCCUGGGUAUUUGUUACAGUAUCAGAAAGCUGGUUAACAUGCUCAGCCUUGAAUGUUGUUAGGCAGAAUGAUAUAUAUCCCUUUUUUCAGUCUGUUUUUUUUUGUUUGUUUUUACUUUUCCUCAAACCAUAUUAUUUAUAUUCUGUCUCCAAAAAAAUAUAGAGAUUUCCCCUUCCUUGUAUGCCAGAACUUUGGCAUUUCUAGAAGGCCUCUUGGAGGCAGAAGCAUGAUUUCAUUCCUGGGCUGGGUAUCAGUAAAUCAUUGUCAGCUCAGUGAUAAUGGCUAAGCUUGUGAGAUUGCUUGAAAGCAGUCUGGGCAAUCUUGUCCAAAUGAUCCCUAAAGCUUGGGUCACUAUCCAUCCUGAGCCCUGCAUUUGUGACUAGAUGGCUGCACCCUGCCAAGUCCACAGUGAAGAUGUCCAACAAAUAGACACAUCACUGCUGAUUCUGCUUGCCAGGGCAAGGUGGCUUUGCUCUUUCCACCCCACACCCACUGCACAGUACAUCCCUGGAUAAUGAUAGGUCUCAUCUUUAUUAAAUAAAUCACAUCAGCAUUACUGCACUCCCAUAAACUCCUUGACCUUGUCAAAUCUGCAAAAACAAAGCAUCAUGAGUAUUGGGCUGUGAAGUUUAAACGGAUUGUUUAGGGUGGAUUCCUAAAUGGCAGUAUCUAUAGAGACACCCUGAUUUUUAACUGUUGCAUAAUACAUAAUGUGAAUUUUUAUAAAGAGUAGCCUAUUUUUAAUUUAGCUCUAAGUAAAUGGUAAUAUUUUAUUCUUUUGUUCUGAGUGGUCAAACAAAGGAAAUUGUAGGUCCAAUUGAUUUUUCAGGAUAUGCAGCAUAAGUUUAUAAAAUAUUUGACCUCAUUCAUUACCAAUUUAUUAACAUGUUUCUAGACUGUUGGGUAACCUUUGUAUUUACUUUAGGCUAUAAAAUACAUAUUGAACUUUUAAGUCAUUGUUUUAAUGGGUUUUAGCUCAACCUGCAUAAAUAAAACCAAUUUCAGUAUAAAACUAGGUAGCAAAAGUGAUUCAGGGUCCAUGAGAGUUGUUCCAUAAUUAAUUAUUUAGAUAACACUGUGGCCUAGAGAUUUGUUGAUCCUUCAAAGAAAAAGAGAGUAAUGAAGGAGGAAGAAUAGAUGGACUCCUUCUUCUCCUUGCUAAGGAGAUUGAUGUUCAAAUCCAAAAGAAACAGCCUGAACAGCUUGCAUUCAAGCCAAAAUUGUGAAAUCAAGGGAAGAGUUUCACUUGCAUAAUAUUCUUAAAUAUUCUCUGAUAUUGGAAUUAUUAAUCAUUGAGAAUGCUAAACAUCCAAAUGAUUUUUAAGCUUUGAUAGGAACCUCUAAACAGAAGAUGAGCAGAGGAUAAAUUGGACAAAUAGCUAGACAGGCAAAACACUAUAGUUAUUUUCUUCCUUUAUGCCAUCAGAAUAUCUUUGUGACUAUGUGAAGGUAAGAUUUUAUAUGGAGGGAUUUAGGCAAAGGCACCAGUCUUUAUGCAGGAGUAGGAAUCUGAAAGUUAAAGUGAGAGUCAACCAGCCAUCAAGACUCUUAGGAGAGCCUUAUCAGCCUUUGAUUUUAGUCCCACUACCAAUUCUGGUAAUGUCUCUAUUUUUCAUAGUGUCUCUGCAUUCUUAUAAUCCUAUUUUCAUGUUUAUCUCACUUGUAAUUACGUUUACAUGCAUUUAUUUGUGCUUGUCCUUUGUGUUUUCUCUAAUUGCACAGUGAGUAUUUCAAGAGCAGCAAAACUGUCUUUUGUUACUUUGCAAUUUUCUCUUGGCUAAUACAGAGCUCAGAGUCUCAGGGUUUUAGGACAUGGUCUUAAUACAUAAAGGGAAAUUUCCAUAGUCCACAUUAAGCAGAAGUAUGGGGUUGUUUAAGGCUUCAUAGUGACCAAUAACGACAAUAAAAUUGCUUGUACCUUUUGGCCACAGUGAUGGUUAAGUAAAGAAACUCAGAUCUGUUUUUGAGCCCAAGCUUUGAUUGAAACUAACUAAUUAUGGCAAGUUACAUGAUAUCUUAGGUCUAGGUAUUAUAAUCAAUAACACAGGAGAUAAUAGUAUGCAUCUCAUUAUGUUGCUGUAAGAAUUAAUUGAGAUAAUAUGUUGCAAGCAUUUAAGGUAUCUGGCGUAUAGUUAGACUCAAUAAAUGUUAGCUGAGACCAUUAUUAUUAUCAUCAACAUUGUUGUACUGUGCCUAUAGAUUUUAUGAGCUCCAGGACCUGAAAUUCACAAUACUCAUUGAUAUCAGCUCCUCCCUCCCUUCCUCCCUGCCCCCCCUCCCUCUCUCUCUCUUAUUAAUUUUAAACUUCAACUACUAUGAUUCCAGGCAAAAUAAAUAAGUAUUUUUAAAAGUCUUGAAAAUUCUGUCACUUUACUUAGAGCCAUUGCUAUGAAGGCUUUUGCACAGCUUUAACAUGAUAUGCCUACCCAGUCUUUCCCAUUGGAUAUUUCGUCUCUUAAAAAUACCAACUUUUAAAAACUUCACACUCUCCCUUGCACUUUUGUCACAGUACUCUACUUGAAAUUUUACUUUACUAUAUGGGAUUUAUACUGUCCAUUGUCCUAUUUUAGGGUUGUCCUUAAACAUGGUCAAGCCUCAAGGCCGUUUGGUGGUGACAAGUUAUAAAUAACAUUAUUACCAUAAUUAAAGGUUGAAUCAGAGUGCCUUGGGAGGGACGUGUAGUCACCUUUGGCUUAUAGCCAAGUGUGGGUCACUGGGGUCAUUAACAUUAUUGCACUAGUUGACCAAAUACUCCCUGGGUAUUGUGAUGGUUUGCAGGGCUAGACUCGUCUGAUACAACUGGUGUGAUUUGUCCUUAUUCCAAGUAAAUUUUUAAGAUAAAACUUAUUCAUUUUACUCAUUGAGGACUUUCUCUACACUUUCAUGCAGAUUUUUCAAGCUUUAUAAGAAUCUGUUCAACUGUAUGUCUUCCACCUUAAACCAAACUUUAUCAACAUGUAAGUAAACUGUUACUUAUUAGAGAAAAAAUCAAUAUGAUCAUACUAAAAUACUGUUUAUUGACUUGGCAACAUAUUUUUUCAAUCCAUGGGUAAUAAGAUAACCUUAAUCUGGAUUUUCUUUUAGUACCUCUCCUUCCGGUUUUAGUAGCAGCUAAGUUGCCAUUGCUAAAGGGAGAAUAAUUAGGGAUAGUAGACUCUGGGCAAUGAGUGUGUGGCUGAUUUCUUUUAUAAAGCUCAGCAGGAUAAUCCACUAUACUACCUCUGCCCUCCCUGCGCCUAAUGGAAACCACAGAGGAGCUCAUCCUUUCUCCAUACUCCUCUCUUUUGUUUGCUAGGUAAGGGAACAGAGACCACAAAAAAGAAAAAUGUGAAAAUUAAAUAAAACUGCUUUCUCACUCUUUUCAGGACUAAUGUUAAACUUCUCAUUUACUUUACUUUUAAUUUCUUUGUUUUUAUAUUGAUUCAAAUUCACUAAUAAAGUCCUGUAACAAACAAUGGCUUGCCAUAUUGCAGGAGUAAACAACCACUUUUGUGUUCUUUAGGACAAAUGUUUUAAAAUGACUGAGAGAGAGACUAAUAUUUGCCAGGGUCCUGGAGAAUGUCUAUGGAAGAACUAGUAGCCCAGAAAAUAUUCAUGGUAGUGACAUAAACAAGGAUCUGUCUGAAACCUUCUUGGGUAUCACCAAAUUUUCACUUGCUUUUAACAGUCCAGCAUCACUGACUUGGUGAGCUAUCUUUAAAUGUGGGUUUUUAGGAUUCCAUUUGUUCAUGUAGAGAGAUGUUUCCAGGAUAAAAUUGUUCACACACAUACAUUUUAUUUAUAUAUAUAAUCUAUCUUAUGUUUAUCCUGUCAAUUUCACAAAAAUUAAUAUUCCCUCAUUCACAACUUAUGUAAUACUAUACACUGUGGAUAUUAAAAUGGUGAGAAAAAAAAUUGAAUCAUUGAUCAUAAAACAUGGUUGCCAUGGAUACAUUCAGUAGAGUUCUUAACCUAGAUCACUGACAUUCAUUAGAACUCUAUGCAAAAGUUUUUAUUUUAAAUAGAUUUAAUGCAGGACUAUAAGGAUUUCAAGUAAAUUUACUAUGUAUGAUUAUUUAUCAAAAGAGUAAAAAUUUUCUAUAUAAUUUUUUCCUAUUUAGUUCUGAAGAUUAGUGAAAGGAACAAGAAAAAAUGUAAUUCAUGGGGCAUAAAAACAAUUUAGGAAGACUAUUAAAGAAAAGUAUCAUAAUAUUUUACUGGUCAAAAAUUGUUAUGCAUAUAUUAUGUUUUAUUUAAACUUAAUAACAAUGCAGCAAUCAUGUCUAUUCAAAUAUGCCUUUGUUCUAAAGUUAAAUUAAGAAUAUAUAGCUAAACAUAAAGUAAUACAGGGCAAGAUGACCCCCCCAAAGAAAAGUCUUUCCAAUUCACUGCAUAUUUCAGUCUGUACGGGCUAUUUGAUGGCACAUUAACAAAUGAUAAUACAUGUAUCUCAUGAGAAUUUGGCCCAAUGUCAAUCUGACUUUGAAAACAACAUCAAAGCUGCCUAGUCAAAUUAAUUCUGCAUUGACAUACUUGUCUGUGGCUGUUGAAAUUUGACCUUCUAACACUGGAUGUCUUUAUUACUAUUUAUUGUUCCGUAGUGUGAAUGGAUUGUAUUUAACUGAAGAAAAAUUUGUAGUGUCUCUACCAGAUGAAUUUUUAGAAAGACAAAAGUGAUUUAAUAUUUUUCAAUUGUAGAUGUUGUCUUUGUGUCUCAUACAUACUUUUGGUUUAGCACAUAAUUGGGAAAUGAAAGACAGGGAAUGAAGGGCAUCCCAAUAUGUCUUUUGCUGACUCUCCAUAGUUUGGGCUUGUGAAAGAUCCCAGAUCAGAAAGGGUUUUAAACUUUAGUGCAUUUGAGCUUCCAGUGUCUGCUUGAGCAAUGUGACAAGUUUGAGGUGCCCUUCCAAGUGUGCCCAGCUUAAGUUACAGAAAAAAAUAAAGUUAAUGGCUUUGACCUCUUAAACUAUUAUAUGAAGAAAAGGCUCUAUUCACUUAAAGGCCACCCUAUUGUACUCUCUAUCUUUGAAGUGAGUCACGUACUAAUUUCCUCUCAGGAAAGUUUAAACCAAAAUAUGUUUAGUUGGUAGGAUUACUUUCUUCUUUGUGAACCCCAAACAUCUUAGAUUUGGGCAAUAUAAUUAAAAGCUAUAUAUUUUUUUUAAAAAAAAUGUGUGUAGAUACUGAACUAAAUUAUGUCAACACACAGAAACUUCUUUUGUUUAUGCAAAUAGGAACUCUGUUAGUAAACUGAAAGUAAAUGAAACAUAAGGAAAUUUAGAAUGUGGUAUAACCACAUGAGACAAUGACUGAAAUGGUCUUAAAAAUGAGAGAUUUCUUUGGUUUACUUAUGCUUGGUGCAUUAAGAUUUAUGAAUAUUUGAAAUGAGAACUUGUUCAUUGUGAUAGUGGAGAUGAAAUGUAUACUAUGUAAGAAGAGCCCUAGAAUUCUAAUUAUUAUUUGGUAAACAAAACCUAGUCUCAAAUCAUACUCUGAUUACCUUUUAGGUCCUUUGUAUCAUCAUCAUCAUCAUCAUAAAGCAUGUAUUAAUUUUUUACUCCAUUAAAUAUUUUUAAUCAGUCUAUGGUUUAGUUAUGGCAGUGGUUAUUUUAAAAAACUUAUAAUUAACAUAAUCAGUUUUUCCAAAGAUACUCCAGGGUCUAGUUAAUUCCUCUAUGAACUGUGACAAUGGAUUUUUCAGGGUCUGAUAGAACAGAAAUCACAGGCAGAUGAAAGUUUAUGUUUGCCCUUUCUCUACUGUAUUGCAUCAAUUCCUAUCUUCACAUCUCUAAAAUUAGGAUGCACCUUAAAUAGCUUAAUUGCAAUAGUAUUUAUUGUUGUUGUUUUUGAUAUAUACUAAAAUGAUACAUCUUAGAAUUGAUGGAGAGGACAAUAUGACAAAAUGUGUUUAUUUCUAUUUUCUGACUUUAUCAAAUGCACAGCAUGCACAAAAGACUAAGAAAUUAAUACAUCACAACUUUUCUAUUGGUGAAUCCAUGACUUAAUGUCACCUUCUGAAUGUAAUAACGAAACCCUUCUCUUGUUUCUCCAUUUUCAGGUUCUGAGCUGAAACACUGUCUUCCAGCAGUAGACACACCAUUAUAAAUAUUCUUGCAUCAUCUUCUGGGACACAUGUGCAAGAAUUUCUAUAGAAGCAGAAUUUCUGAGGCAUAGAGUAUGCAAUAUUUAACUUGAGAUAGUACUGAAUGACUUUCCAAGUGGUUAACCAAGUUAUAUUUCCACCAACUUACACACCAAGGGUAUAAGAUUUCUAAUGAUUCACAUUUUUCUAACAUUCAGUAUUAUCAAACUUUUACAUUUGCCAAUAUAAUAAUAUAAAAUUGAGUACCCUUGACUUUUAAAAUUUGAAUUUAUGUGAUUUAUACUGAGGUAAACAUCAUUUGAAAUAAAUAUUGGCCUUCUCUCUCUUUUCUUUAAUUUGUGAGUUUUGCCUAAUUUCCU
rnacentral:lncRNA from 1 species